rnacentral:rRNA from 1 species
UUGGAGGGCAAGUCUGGUGCCCGCAGCCGCGGUAAUUCCAGCUCCAAUAGCGUAUAUUAAAGUUGUUGCAGUUAAAAAGCUCGUAGUUGAAUUUCGGGAUCGAAUUGUUGGUCGUGCCUCGGUACGCACUGGCAUUAUCGGUUCCUACCUUCUGAAGAACCGCGAUGUCAUUAAUUUGGUGUCGUGGGGAAUCAGGACUGUUACUUUGAAAAAAUUAGAGUGUUUAAAGCAGGCUUACGCUUGAAUACAUUAGCAUGGAAUAAUGAAAUAGGACGUUUGAUUCUAUUUUGUUGGCUUCUAGGAUCGACGUAAUGAUUAAUAGGGAUAGUUGGGGGCAUUAGUAUUCAAUUGUCAGAGGUGAAAUUCUUGGAUUUAUUGAAGACUAACUACUGCGAAAGCAUUUGCCAAGGAUGUUUUCAUUAAUCAAGAACGAAAGUUAGGGGAUCGAAGACGAUCAGAUACCGUCGUAGUCUUAACCAUAAACUAUGCCGACUAGGGAUCGGAUGAUGUUAAUUUUAUAAUGACUCAUUCGGCGCCUUACAGGAAAC